GAGCCUUAGCUUAAAACCCAAAGGACUUGCACGGUGUCCCACCCAACUAGAGGAGCCUGUUCUAUAAUCGAUAAUCCCCGCUCCACCCAACCCCCCCUUGCCUUCAGCCUGUAUACCUCCGUCGCAAGUCCGCCGUAUGAAUGUUCUUCAGCGGAUUAAAGGAUUUUUUAUCAAUACGUCAGGUCAAGGUGCAGCCCACGGGGUGGCAAGCAAUGGGCUACAAUUUCUAGCCUAGAACAUACGAAAUACUGUAUGAAACACAGUUAUGAAGGAGGAUUUAGUAGUAAAAAGAAAAUAGCGCGUUCUUUUUAACACGGCCCUGGGACGUGUACACACCGCCCGUCACC
rnacentral:rRNA from 1 species